AUGUCGGUCUUCAAAUUACCCAAGGGGGUUUGCAAGUCAAUAACAGAUGAAAUCCCAGGUUUUUGGUGGGGAGAUGGAGAGGAGAAAAAGAAAAUGCACCGGUUUGCAUGAUGGAAAUUAUGUGUCCCAAAGAAGAAGGGUGGCAUGGGGUUUAGGGACCUUCACAGCUUUAAUCUUGCUAUGUUAGCAAAGCAGUGUUGGCGACUUCUCCAAAAUCCUGAUUCUUUAUGUGCACGUGUUCUGAGUGCCAAGUAUUAUCCAAAUGGUGAUAUUCUGAAGGCAGGGCCUAAAAAGGGUUCAUCAUACACUUGGCAAAGCAUUGUUGCAGGUAUACAGACUUUCAAGCGAGGGUGUAUUUGGCGGAUAGGGUCUGGCUCACAUAUUAACAUAUGGGAUGAUCCCUGGAUUCCU
rnacentral:rRNA from 1 species